CUUCAUUAAUUGUAUAAAUUAAUUUCGUACAACUUGAUCGUAAAUAAUACAAACUAGUGUAGAGACCCGCGCGAUGCAGCGGGUAGAUAAUAGAAACAAAAUAUAAAAAGUUUAAUAAAAUUUAUAUUUAAAGCUUAUUGAUAUAUAGAAAGCUAUACCAUAUUAAACACAACAAAUUUGUAUGACUAAAUUCAACUCUUAAAAAAAUAAAAUUAUAGCUAAAACCCAAUAUAAUAUUAAUAUGGUGCAUGUAAUUAAAUGUUGCACCUUACAUGUAAUUAGAGGAGUGAGAAGGUGAAGGGUUGGAUGAUGAGAAUGAAAGAUAACAUGCCACGUGGCAAAAAGUAUUCUGACUUCAUAUAGAUUUAUAGAUUUAUAGAUUUAUAGAUGAUCACGGCCCAAUUAACACCUUGAAGAAAUU
rnacentral:lncRNA from 1 species